AUUGAACGCUGGCGGCAGGCCUAACACAUGCAAGUCGAGCGGAUGAAGGGAGCUUGCUCCCUGAUUUAGCGGCGGACGGGUGAGUAAUGCCUAGGAAUCUGCCUGGUAGUGGGGGAUAACGUUCCGAAAGGAACGCUAAUACCGCAUACGUCCUACGGGAGAAAGCAGGGGACCUUCGGGCCUUGCGCUAUCAGAUGAGCCUAGGUCGGAUUAGCUAGUUGGUGGGGUAAAGGCUCACCAAGGCGACGAUCCGUAACUGGUCUGAGAGGAUGAUCAGUCACACUGGAACUGAGACACGGUCCAGACUCCUACGGGAGGCAGCAGUGGGGAAUAUUGGACAAUGGGCGAAAGCCUGAUCCAGCCAUGCCGCGUGUGUGAAGAAGGUCUUCGGAUUGUAAAGCACUUUAAGUUGGGAGGAAGGGCAGUAAGUUAAUACCUUGCUGUUUGGACGUUACUCGCAGAAUAAGCACCGGCUAACUCUGUGCCAGCAGCCGCCGUAACAC
rnacentral:rRNA from 1 species